GGCUUCGUGGUCGAGUGGUAAGGAUAAUUGUCUCUCACCCAGGCGUCCCGAGUUCGAUCCCCGGACUGGGAACUA